rnacentral:lncRNA from 1 species
AAUACAAACAUAAAAUAUGUAUUAAAAUAAUAUUAAUCCAUAUCGUGCUGCAAAAUAUAUAUAAACAAAAAUAUAUAAAUAUAUAUAUGUCAAGAAAAAACAAGAUUGAAUAAAGAAAAAUUGUUCUAAUGGAAAAGACUACGUAAUAUUUUUUAGUGUAAAAAAUAUAAAUUAUUUGAUUAAAUAAUCUAAGUCAAUCUAAUAUUUUUAUAUAAAUAACAGUCUAAAUUUGCCUAAGCGCGUGAUAAAGAUUGCAUAAAUAACAAAUAUCCCGCACAACAUCCGAAAAAUAAAGUUUUACACUAAGAUAAUAUUUGUACAAGUAAAAAAAAUAUGAAAGUACCAACACAUUUUAAAGUCUUCUUUAAAUGUCUUUUCCAACGAAUAUUCUCAAACACCUAAAACACUUGUAACAAAAAUGUUAGUAACAAAUAAAUAAUUAUCAAAAUAAAUUUAAAAAAUAUGUGUGCAUAUAUGUAUUUAGAAAUAUAAUUUUCAUUAAAAAGUGGACUCGGAUAAAUUUUAAAUACAUCAUAGCUACGAAGUGAUUGCUUAAUUGAUUGGUUGUCCUAAAUCGCCUUGCAAAGAUACAAACCAUAAAAUCCUUUUGCGUUGUUAUAAAAAAUUUCGUCAUCACCUAAAAUAUUUAUUUUUAUUAUAUAUUUAUAUAUGUAACAUUCGUCUUUCUAUAAAUUAUUUAUAGAGGCCUCGAAAAUCGACGGAUAGAUAAUAUCAUUGACCGAUUAUUAAUAUUUUAUUCAAUUCAAUUUAACAAACUUAAAAAAAAAAAUAAAGUCAAAAAAGGAAGCCUAAAAUUUAACAGAAAGUGGCAGACAAUAAAAAUAAUAAAAACAUCUAAAUAUUGACAUAGGUUGUCGAAAAUACAGCAAAACUAAUCCUUUCACAGUGAGCAAACAGUAGCAAAAUACAGAAAUAAUCAACAAAAAGUAAACAUGAUGUUCGCCGGAAUUCAUGGAGCUUCAUCAGAACACUCUUCUUUUCGCGAAUCAGUCAAACCACAAGGAACAAAUUGUAUCCAGCAAAGUCAGGAAAACAAAAUAUACAAUGACACAUAAAUCACAAACAAAACUCAAUUAAAGGGAGUAUUUUCGACAAACCAUAACAAUAAAUGGAGAAGGAAACGGCGUAUUCACCGGAGCAACAUAAUAUUCACAAUCACAAUAAUUAACAAAAAAUAAAGCCCAAAACAAGGGGCAGUAGCGGCAUGGUGGCAACGGCACAACGGCGUUAGCUGGAACAACGCCGAAAAAUCAAAACUGACCAAAUCUGGCUCAUUUUUGUGCAACAAUAGUGAGGGAGCAACGGUGGAUUUUGAGACUUCGCCAGCCAUCGCCUCCGACGAAGAAGUAGCGGAAAGGGGCAUAAAAGAAGGGGGAAGAAGGGGCGGGGCAGGUGGAGUUAUGGAGUUCGCCGGCAGCCAGAUCCGGCGAAAUCCGGCAGGAAGAGGGGAGAAAGAGAGAGAUCGAAAGGAGGUGCGGUGGUGGCUGGACGUUGGUGGUCGAAGAUCGGCCCGCGGUUAAAUCCGGCGGUCGACACUGACUGGUUGAGGGAGAGAGCGUGGAGUGAGAGAGAGAAAAUGUGAGGGAUGGCUGAGUGUGUGAUCUGCCUGUGCAGUGUGUGUAUAUUAAAGAAAUUCUAAAGAAAGUAAAAAGUAGUAUUAAAAAUAAAAAACAAAUAAAUAAAAUAUUAAAUUUACUUUUUUUUUCAACACAUUUUUUAAAUUAUGAAUAGUAGGUAAAGAAAAAGUCAAGUGUCAUAACGAUGAUGAGACCUCAACCUAAUUAAUUUGUUCCUCUAUGUAUUAAAAUAAUUGACCUGACUCAACUUUUACGGAUUGUAAUAAAUGUACGAAAAUAUAAAUAUUGAUAUGUAAUUAUAGAAAAAAAAUAAGGAAUAUUGAAAUUAAUGUAAUUAAUUUAAAAUACUGUAAAAAUGUGACAUCAUGUCGUGC